UCCCGGGUAGCUCAGUGGUAGAGCAAUCGGCUGUUAACCGAUCGGUCGUAGGUUCGAAUCCCACCCCGGGAGCCA
rnacentral:tRNA from 1 species